rnacentral:tRNA from 1 species
AAGGGAGACCUAAUUGAGGAUGGGAAUGAAAAAAUAGUAGUCCCAACCAAGAAUCAAUCCCAAAAGGUCGGGGCGAGGGGAAAUUGGCUUUCAAUUUAGGUUCUGGGUUCACAGAAGACCUAAAUCAGGAACAAGGGAUAUUAGCUCAGGUGGUUAGAGCGCACCCCUGAUAAGGGUGAGGUCCCUGGUUCGAGUCCAGGAUGGCCCACCUGCGCAGGUGGUAAAAACAAGAGAAGCGAGGAAUCAGCACCUUAUUUUACUUACAUAGUAAGAGAGAAUGCUGGCUCUGAGUAAAGAGUCCAGAGGAACCUUGAAAACUGCAUAGAGCUAGGUGAAAAAGCCAAAAAAGAAGACCGCAA